UUUAUUAAUAAUUUUCCAUCGGAUUUUGCAAUAGCUCUUGUUUUGUAAAGGUCACAUUUACCGAUAACCAUGGGAUAUUUUAUAUAAACUACAAGUAAAUCAUUAUUAAAUAAAAUUUUAAAAGUUGAUGUGUCCAUUAGGUCAGAAAUACUACAGAUUGUUUUUCAUGAUUGUAAAUUUCUUUAAUUUCUCGUUUAAAAUUUUUGUUUUAAAAAUUUUUGCUUUUGCUAAGAUAAUAGUAUCUAAUAAAUUUUGUAAGUCAAAUGUGAGUAACCGCAAACGAUGUUUUCGUAAAAUUGUUUCCUCGUUGAAAACUACAUUUUUUAAACUUUCAGUAAGAUAUUUUACUUCAUUAAAUAAUUUUGAAUUUAUUGUGAAUUGCUUGUUGUUGUUUUCAAUUAGGCUGUCUAUUUUGUUCUAAACCGUUAUGAAAUCAUCAUGAUCAAGGAGUACCUGCUAUCCAUUUCCAUAAAGUUCCUAUUUCAUUAAUUCCUCUUUUUUGUCUUUUGUUACGGAACUGCAUCUUUCCCGGAGGGCAGCGCCGGCUAGCCACGGAGUCCCAGGGCGGAGUACCCCCUAUGCCCUGCAGUCCGAACAAUCGAUUCCGACUCAUCGGACGUCUCACGUCGAUUUACCAUCCCUAGCACAAAUCAAAACAAAACAAAAUUAUAUUUACAUUAAGCAACUAAGACAAUUCGACGAAAUUGGUGGCUUCGAUGUCCUUGCCACGACGCACCCACCCAACCUUGGGUGCCCCAAGAGAGAUGUGGGAGGCACACCCCAUCUCCGGCAGACCGGAGUCUAUUCCUGGUGGAUUAGGAUCGGCUCAUCUCCCCGCCCAAGGUAAUUCACACAACCAUCUCGGUAGCUUGUUCACAUUUAAUUCUUGAAACUUUAAGGCCGAUCUCAGAGCGUCGCCCAGAUGAGAAGCGGUCAAAGCGGAAACAACCGAAAGGGAAAUUUUUAGACGCUUAAAGUUCCAAGUGUCAGGCAAAGUCGCCGCACGGCACCAAAUUUGGAGGCGUUUGCCAGCCGGGUCGCCUAAUCCUGAGGAGCUCCAAGGGAAAAGAAGGGACGUGCUAAUAAGGUAAGUACGCUAAACAAAUCCCACAAGUCAUUAAAUUUCGCGACCCAAUUUAAAUGUAGUUGGACGCGGGCUAGGGUUCGGGCUUGAGCCUCUAAAUCUAGAUUAGAUUUCACAAGUUCAACGUCGGAUGUGUUGAAACUGCAGCAGAAAAAAACGCUGACGGCGAAAACCAGCGCGAGUCCGCACGGAGCCAGUUGGUCCGGAGGAUAGCGCAGCGUAGCCGGAGGCAGUGCGUCGGUGGACUUGGAGAUGACCACGUGGCCAGCGCGGGCAUUCGUUCCCGGAACGGACUCACCGAGGGAAUCUCCGUAUCUGGCCGUCUUGGCGGCUGUCGCUGUAGCUGCUGGCGCUUGAGGCUGCUGUUGCUGCUACUGAUCGCUGCUGCUGCGGCUAAUGCU